rnacentral:snRNA from 1 species
CACUCCCGGACGAGUGCUAAAAUUAAAACAGUAAAGAAAUGAUAAGCAUGGCUCCUGCGCAAGGACGUCAUGCAAACGCGCUACAAGUAAAUCAAAUAU